ensembl:lncRNA CTBP1-AS CTBP1 antisense RNA
AGGGCUUGCCUGUGGAGAGGCUGGAGUCAGCCGUCAGCGCGGAACUCCUGGUCUUCCCACUGCCACCUCUGCAGCCCCCACCAGAGAUAUCAGAAAACAUCAGCUCCAGCCUGCAGCCCAGACACUUGAAGUCACCUUGGCUGCCCCUCCUCACACCCGUGCCCACGUCAGCAAAACCAGGGCCGGCUUGUUAACCGUGUCCAGAACCCACCCUUCCCACCCUGCCCAGGCCACCUCCCUCAGUGGCCCAGGGGGCUCCAAGUUGAAGAGCCCAAGACAGGUCAGAGAUGGGCUGGGCGGCCUCUGCCACUCACCUCCGGAGAGGGCAGGGAGCAGAGGCCUCAGUCAUGAGGUGGGGCUGUCCUCGGCGUGGGCCUCGAGACUGGGAGCCACUGCCCAUACCCAAGAGACCUCUGCGAGCACUGGGGUGCAGAGCCAGCUCUGAGAAACCAGGAGGCUGGGAUUUUGAAGAGGACGCCGGUAAACAGGCUCAGCUGUGGGCCAAGGAACGCGAAGGACACAGGGCAGAGCGCCCACAGGACGGACGACGACAAGCGACACGAGGCCCAGCGCUGCCCCCUCCCGCCUCCUGACAGCCCGGACCAGUCUCUGCAGUGCCAGGGCCACCACACAGAUGCCUCCUCCACACACUCUGGUCCGAGGGUUUCCGGGCCCUCUGCCCAGGCGCCGAGGCUGGAGAGCUCCUCCCGGGCUACAACUGGUCACUGGCGUGGUCUCUAUCCGCCUCGGGCUUGACGGUUUGGCCAGGAGAAGGGGCGUGGGGCGGGUGGGCCACAGGGGGCAGGCCGUGGGACAGGGACAUGGCGCUGGGGACGAUACCUUCCACAGCAGCUGGGAUGCCAGUGGGGGCCACGCCCACCACGCCCGGAGGGUACCUGCUGGGAGAGGGUCCAUCCGUGAGGCCCACCUGUAGGCGGCCUGGCCAGGCCCCACCUGCCCUCCUAGCAUCGGCAGCACCGAGGGGGCCUCUCCAGGAGGACCAGCAGUCAGGGCCCCGUGCCCAUGGCACUCCUGUGUCCACUGAGCCCUGAAGGCCACCCCAGCCCAGGCUCCUUCCAAGAGGCCCUGGUUCUCAUGGGCCUUUCAGCUGCAGAUGUCAGAGGCCGACCUGAGCACAGCCCUUUCCAGCUGCAGAUGUCAGAGGCCGACCUGAGCACAGCCCGUUCCAGCUGCAGAUGUGAAACCUGAACCUGGCAGCACGGAAGUCACAAGGGCCGACCCAACGCCCCCAGAAGUAGAGUCCUGUGUCCCCGGCUCCACGCACCUGCUUGACGGUGAAGUCGUUGAUGAGGUGGUGGUUGUGCUCGUUGAGGCCGCAGUGCAGGGUCACGCAGUCGCUGUGGAAGAGCAGGUCCUGCAGGGUGCUGACACGCUGCAGCCCCAGCGCCCGCUCCACGCCAUCCGACAAGUAAGGGUCGUAGAAGAGCACGUUGAAGCCGAAGGCCUUGGCCCGCAGCGCCACUGCCUGCCCCACGCGACCUGGUGGCGUCAAGACACAGUGUGAGACCCUUGCUCACCCGUGGCCGGGAGGCCGGCCCCGAAAGCCAGGGUCGGAGUGGCCUCUGUGCCUCAGUUUGACCAUCUGCCAAGGAUGACACCAGCUGUGGUCAAGCCAAGGUGCCCACGCACGCUCCACACGAGCGCUCCACGUCCGCUCCAACGCGCCCACUGCCAAGGCGGAGGAGAUGCACAGGGGUGGAAAGGGUACACUAGCCCCUCGGCCCACACCAGCUGCCAGCCACACCACUCCCCUGCAGCCUGUCCACAGGACGUGACAUGAACCACUCAGUGUCAAACGGACUGGUCAGUGGGUCUCCACCCACCCAACACAUGUCCUCCGUGCCCAGGCCCCUCCGCUGGCCUUUCGAUCCACCCAUCAAUGUUUCCGGCAUCUCAAUUCCAGCCACCACUACGUGGAGACGGCAAAGGGGGCAGGAGGGAAACUUCCAGACCAGGGAGGCCCCGCUGGGCUCAGGUCCUGACCCCUUCGAGUGGAGCGGCAGAGAAAGCCAUCCCAGGCAGACGUGCCUGCCCCCACCCCAGCAGUCCAAGGCUGGCACGGGUCCCAGCACAGGAGCCGUGGAGCUUGAGCCACCGUGUCUGGCUGGGGCCGGCUCCUCCUCGGGGAAGGGUCUGCAGAGUGCUCGUGCCCACUGUGAGCCAACAGCAUGGCUGCAAAGGACACAGGACCCCAAGCCCGCGAACGUGGUGUCUCCUGCAUUGCCUCAGAGGGAACCGCUACACAGGAAGGAAGCAGGUUGAGCGCCGGGGCGGGUGGGAAGUGGGCGCAGUUUCAAAGGCGGCAGCCAGGGCAGGCCUCCCUGAGAAGACCAAGCUUGCUGGAGACAUAAGGGGACAGGAAGGGAGCCAGAGAGCUGGAACAACACGUGCGAGGGGCCCGCGGCGGCCUGAGGGCCAAGGAGACCAGACCGCCAGGCACACAGGGUGGCCGGACGUGGCCCAAACGCCCAGGGGACCCCCAGUCACUCUGGGAAGAGGACUGGGGGAGGCUGGGAGGCCAGUCAGAAGAGCUGAGGACCGUCUAAACGCACUACAUCCUAGAAAGGGAGGCGCCUGUUCUACGAGAAGGAACAUGGUGGCUCCUUCCAUCCCCAGGGACGAGGCUGCUGCAGGAGGGAGGAGGGCUCGGCAGGCGGAGGUGGGAGCAGCAGUUCUGAGGGUUGCAGCCACGGCCGGAGUACCCGGGCAGCUCCCCAGGUGCAGAACAGCCCGUCUGUCAACGCCCCCUGCCAGGGAUCCCACCAAAUGGGGAGGAAGAGAACACAGGCAGACACAGAGAAAGGCGUCUCCCACAGCGCAGAAGGCGGACGACACGCUGUUUCCCACUGCGCACAACACAAAGCCCCGGAAGUCGGGCUGCCGGUGGCGAAAACCAGCUAAAGCCGCGGGCCGGCGCCGGCCACGCCUGACACGGGAGAGCAGCGGCUGUUCGGGGCGAGACCAUUCUUCACUUCUGUCUCUGCCAUUCUCUUCCACAUGAUGUCUGGCUUAGGAUAAGAAAUUAUGAUGAUGCAGGUGAAGAGACAGGAGGAUGUAGUUUCUAAUUAGAACAAAACACUGGAAGCGGACAGACGCACAGAUGACCGAGGCUGGAAUCAGCCAGCAAAACCUCUUAAUAACUACUAUAAACAUGCUCAGAGAUGACAACAAGUGUGGAUGUAAACAGCAGAAAAAUGGAGGCUUCCGGAAGAUGAAUGGUAACUCUAUAAAGAACCACAUAGAAAUUCCAGAACGAAAACAUCCCUCUGAAACGGAACUCCCUGGACAAAGCUAACUGCAAGAAAAGGAUCGGGAGCUUGAAGGGAGGGGCUCAAAGUCAGCAGAUGGCAUCCAAACAGAAGCAGAGAGAAAAGAAUUUAAAAAAUAAAUUUUAAAGAACAGGCCUUGGUGGCUGACGCCUGUAAUCCCAGCACUCUGGGAGGCUGAGGUGGGCGGAUCACAAGGUCAGGAGUUCGAGACCAGCCUGGCCAACAUGGUGAAACCCCGUCUCUACUAAAAAUACAAAAAUUAGCCGGACGUGGUGGCGGGCGCCUGUAGUCCAAGCUACUCGGGAGGCUGAGGCAGGAGAAUGGCGUGAACCUGGGAAGCAGAGGCUGCAGUGAGCCGAGAUCGCGCCACUGCACUCCAGACUGGGCGACAGAGCGAGACUACCUUCCACAAAAAAAAAAAAGGCAACACAUUUUCGGACAAAGAAAAGCAAAAGGAAUCGGUCACUGGUGAGCCACAUUUCUAAGACAGUCUUUAGGCUACAGGAACGUGACGCCCGAGGACAGCCAGAAUCGGGGGGCGUAAACAAGGCAGAAAGGGUGGAUGUGUCGGUUGAUAUUCAAAAGAAAAAUUACUG